rnacentral:lncRNA from 1 species
ACGGAGAAAAACCUUCUAGAGUAAGGCUUGUUGGUUGUAAGAUUCUUUGUAGCCUUCUCUCAGCCUACACAAAUAAUAGCUAGUUCUUCACUAUUAAAACAUCUCCAAAAGUUUGCUAUCUCUACCUGGCAUCAAUAAAUUUUUGAUAAAACAUGAAAAAACAUUCACCAACAAUUUGGCAUCUCAACUUGGUAAAAAUAGGAAGUUGGCAUAUUUCGGCCUUGUUUAGAGCAUCUCCAACAAUUUGCUAAAAAACUUUUGCCAAAUCUUAUGUUUUGACAAGUUGCUAAAAGAUUUGGCAAGUAAAAUAAUUUGUCAUCUCCAACAAGUUGCCAAUUGAACUUGCCAAAUUAUAAAAAAAAACAGGCCCACCACUAAACUACCAACUACCAAAUUGAUGGAUCCAUCCUUCCUCCGCGCCCUUUGUCUGCUCGCAAGGGUUCUGUUGUCCGUCGCGCCGCCGUGUCGUACAGCGCACGGCCAGCCACCUCUUCCUUCCACGGUGUACAAGUGACCAAGCCAGCCAUCUCCAAGAUCUCCUCCUCCACGAUCAGCUAUCAGUACCAGCACAUGUCAUCGCUAUCGAGCAGCACCACAGCACCUCUGCAGCAACAAGUAGGCCGGCAGGUUUCGAGGCAACACAAACUUUUCUGUCAAUUCCUGCUGGUGACAAGACAGGGAGCAGCUCAACAUGGGCCUUGUUUAGUUCCGAAAAGUGAAAAGUUUUCGGUACUGUAGCACUUUCGUUUGUUUGUGAAAAAUAUUAUCUAAUCAUAGACUAACUAGGAUUAAAAGAUUCGUCUCGUGAUUUACAGCUAAACUGUAUAAUUAGUUUUUGUUUUCGUCUAUAUUUAAUGUUUCAUGCAUGUGCCACAAGAUUCGAUGUGACGGAAAAUCUUGAAAAUUUUUUGAUUUUCAGGGUGAACUAAACAAGGCCAUAGAAUAUGCAAGCGAAUCUUGGCAGCAGCUCGGCAGGGAGUACGAGCCAGAACUUUCACCUGGCACGCGGGAAGGGAAGCGAAGACGAGGAAUCACACGAUGGCAAGCGCGUCCGCGCGGCGGAAAUCUACACGCGCGGCUGAGAAAAUUGGCAAGUGAAACAAUUUGACAAGUGGGAAUACUAAACUGUUGGAGCAAAUUUUUACCUCUUUUGCUAAAUUUUUUUGGGAUGACAAGUGCUUUAGCAAACUGUUAGAGAUGCUCUUACAUGCAUUUUUUUUUGAUUUUGACACUAUAGCACUUUCGUUUGUAUUUGACAAACACUAUCCAAUCAUAGAAUAACUAGGUUUAAAAGAUUCGUCUCACGGUUUAUAGGUAAAUUGUACAAUUAGUUAUUUUUUUAUCUAUAUUUAAUGCUCCUUGUACGUACCGCAAGAUUCGAUGUGAUGGAAAAUUUUGUAAACUUUUAAAUUUUAACAUGCCCAAAGUUCUCCCAGCCUAUAAAGAUACACGCGCCUAUCGGACUUGGCAUCGGAGGUUGGACGCAACCGCCUCUUCCCACGCCCCGCGCGUCCUCUUCGCGCGCUCCUUUGGACAGCUGCUGCAUCUGCUCUAAUUGCACAGCUCGUCCUCCUGCUGCUGUGGCCUUGUUUAGUUCACACUAAAAACCAAAAACUUUUCAAAAUUUUCUGUUAUAUCGAAUUUUACGUCACAUACAUAGAAUAUUAAAUAUAGAUGAGAACUAAAACUAAUAGCACAAUUUGUCUGUAAAUUACGAGACGAAUCUUUUAAACCUAGUUACUUUAUGAUUAGAUAAUGUUUGUCAAGUAAAAACGAAAAUAUUAUAGUGUCAAAAUCCAAAAACUUUUUGAAUCUAAAUAAGGCCCGCGUUGAAAAUGACAUAGAAUUGAUUGUACUGUUGCUGGGCACUGCUGCUCACUGCACGACUCCUCGUUCUGUUAAUGAUUUUGUGAAAAUUGAUUACACCGCUAUUGAGCACUGCUGAUUGCUGAGCACUGCCGCUCUCAAAUGAUUUUGUGGAAACAGUACAUUUGAAAUAAAAUUAUUUUGUGGGUCUUUUUUUUUAAAUUUUGCCAAUUCAAAAUUGCCAAAUUCUUAGAAAUAAGAUGAUCUUUUACUUGGCAUAUAUUUUUAGGAGUUGGCAAAUCAUAUCACAGAGUUUCUUCGAUCUUGUGUCGAAGCCGGCUAUAAGCUUGCAGCCUUCUUCUUAUUUUUCUCUUUUUUUUUCUUUUUUGUUCUCUUUUUCCUCGUUUUUGUCCUCCAUUUCAGUAUUUAGCCAAUUUACAAACUGUUAUUAUACUUGCUCUUUUAUCUCCUACUCCCUCCGUCCCUGAAAGCUGCAAUUUCUAGAGUUUUUCUAAGUCAAUUUUUUACAACUUUGACCAAAUUUAUAGAAAAAAAUGCUAAGAUUUAUAGUACCAAAUUAAUACCAUUAAAUUUAUUAUAGAAUAUAUUUUUGAAAGAUACUUAUUUUAUGUUAUAGAUAUUGAUACUCUUUUCUAUAAAGUUGGUCAAAGUUAGAAAAGUUUGACUCACAUGGAUUCUAGGAGUUGAAGCUUUUGGGGACGGACCACUAAAGUCCUCCGAGCUCCCCAAUUGCGGCGUGGGUAGGUAGGGACGGCGCCUCAGGGAGAUUGUUUGCUGAAGCCUGAAGCACGCCAAGUGAAGUGGCAUGUGUAUAUAUAGAUGAACCACUCCCACGCUAACCGCACGCUCAACGCUCAGUCCAACGCCAAAGCGCCUCCGUGAACCGAGCAACUCAAACCAUGGACGUGCCGCUGCCGCUGCUGCUGGGCUCCCUGGCCGUGUCCGUCGUCGUAUGGUGCCUCCUGCUCCGGCGCGGUGGGGACGGGAAGGGGAAGGGGAAGCGGCCUAUGCCGCCCGGUCCAAGGGGCUGGCCGGUGCUGGGCAACCUGCCGCAGUUGGGCUCUCAUCCGCACCACACCAUGUGCGCGCUUGCGAAAAAGUACGGCCCGCUGUUCCGGCUCCGGUUCGGCAGCGCCGAGGUGGUGGUGGCCGCGUCGGCGCGUGUGGCGGCGCAGUUCCUGCGCACCCACGACGCCAACUUCAGCAACCGCCCUCCAAACUCCGGAGCCGAGCACGUGGCGUACAACUACCAGGACAUGGCAUUCGCGCCCUACGGCUCCCGGUGGCGCGCGCUGCGGAAGCUGUGCGCGCUCCACCUCUUCUCCGCCAAGGCCCUGGACGACCUCCGCAGCAUCAGGGAGGGCGAGGUGGCGCUCCUGGUCAGAGAGCUCUCCCGGCACCAGCACCAGCACGCCGGCGUGCCGCUCGGCCAGGUGGCCAACGUCUGCGCGACCAACACGCUGGCCCGGGCCACGGUGGGGCGGCGCGUGUUCGCCGUGGACGGAGGGGAGGAAGCCAGGGAGUUCAAGGACAUGGUGGUGGAGCUGAUGCAGCUCGCCGGGGUCUUCAACGUCGGCGACUUCGUGCCAGCGCUGGCGCGCCUCGACCUGCAGGGCGUGGUCGGCAAGAUGAAGCGGCUGCACCGCAGGUACGACGACAUGAUGAACGGGAUCAUCAGGGAGCGGAAGGCCGCCGAGGAAGGCAAGGACCUGCUCAGCGUGCUGCUGGCCAGGACGCGGGAACAGCAAUCGAUCGCGGACGGCGAGGACAGCAGGAUCACCGAGACUGAGAUCAAAGCACUCCUCCUCGUAAGUUAUUCUACCCUCUUGCUUUCCCGUGGCCCGUGCACAACAACUGCUCUGAUAUGAUGUGGCCGAAUGGACACGGCUACCGGCAGUCCGGCACUGACGGGGACAUGUCUCAUACUUUUGUUGCAAAAAAUUGAUCCCGACUUGUUGGAGUCUUGAGUAUAUUCAACUCUUGUGUUUCACAUGGAUGCAUGCACUUUCUGUGGACAUGUCGUGAUAACAACAGAACCUCUUCACGGCGGGGACGGACACGACGUCCAGCACGGUGGAGUGGGCGCUGGCCGAGCUGAUCCGGCACCCGGACGUGCUGAAGAAGGCCCAGGAGGAGCUGGACGCCGUCGUCGGCCGCAACCGCCUCGUCUCCGAGUUGGACCUCCCGCGCCUCACGUACCUGACGGCGGUGAUCAAGGAGACGUUCCGGAUGCACCCGUCCACGCCGCUGUCGCUGCCCCGCAUCGCCGCCGAGGAGUGCGAGGUGGACGGGUUCCGCAUCCCCGCCGGCACCACGCUGCUGGUGAACGUGUGGGCGAUCGCCCGCGACCCGGAGGCGUGGCCCGAGCCGCUCCAGUUCCGCCCCGACCGCUUCCUCCCGGGAGGCUCGCACGCGGGCGUCGACGUCAAAGGGAGCGACUUCGAGCUCAUCCCGUUCGGCGCCGGCCGCAGGAUCUGCGCAGGGCUUAGCUGGGGCCUGCGCAUGGUCACGCUCAUGACGGCCACGCUGGUGCACGCCCUGGACUGGGACCUCGCCGACGGCAUGACCGCGGACAAGCUAGACAUGGAGGAGGCAUACGGGCUCACCCUGCAGCGCGCCGUGCCGUUGAAGGUCCGCCCAGCACCCAGACUGCUGCCGUCUGCAUACGCAGCGGAGUAGGGGAAAAAAAAACGGAUUCUCGCUGGCUAUCCCGUAUCCAUGUCCGUCCGUACGCAUCGAAAUCCCGUUCGCUUUAGCUUAUUUAGCGUAUCUGCCGGUCACUUUUAUCUCCUACAACUAAAAAGACUAAAACGUGGACAAUCUUUUGGUGCGACAAUCCUCCGUCGCGGUUUCGUCCUGCCAUCCUGCGACCCGCAUCCCGCACGCCUAUCUCUUCCGAACAAAAAAAGGAAACAAAAUCGCUUUGCUCCCAAUUCCUCCUCGCCGCCCCCUCCGGUCCUCCCAAAUCCUCCUCCAUGCAGAGCUCCCCGUCGCAGAUCCUCCUCGGCCGCGCAAAUCCUCCUCGACGCAGUCUUUCUGGGAUCGACGUGCUUACCUUCCAUUCCUUCACGAAUUCACCGGCGACGAAGGCUGCGAUGGCCUGGACUUCGACCUGCCAGUGGAUUUCUCCAUCGACGACUUCCUCCUCCGCUCCCCCGACCGCGGGGACGACGGCGACGACUCCGGCGAGGGCUCCGCCGCCGGAUCCGGCCCCACCGCGUCCUCCUCGGCCUCCCCUGCCACCUCCGGCGCAAACUCCGCCGUGGCCAAUGCCGGCGUCCACGAGGUGAAGCAUGAGGACUCGGACGAGGGGAGGAGCGGCGCCGCCCCGAACUGGAGCCUCAAGCGGAAGCAGGCGAGUCCCAGAGGAGCGAUCUCGGACGUUACAGUGUUCUCCAAGGUAUUUUAGAUCUUACAACUCUUAUCAAAAGAUGGGCUAACAAAUUUCCCAAAAAAAGUUAGCUAGGGUAACAAUCAGUUCGCACUCCAUGUGUUGGUUUAUGCAGGUGGAUUUUUUCAUGGUGUUCACAGUCUCACAUUUGGCGUUGAUCUAAUGAAAAUUCGGUUGAUGGGCAUACUUCAGGUACCCAAUUGUUUUUAUUGUUCUUUCAGAUCUUUCAGAACUAAUAAUUGACACAUUCAGUACUGGAAAAGGUGUAAGUCAUCUAGAACGGCAUAUGAUGGUUCUAUGUUGCAGAGGAUUGCAAUAGCCUAUCUUCUGGCUGCAAUAUGUGAAAUCUGGCUCAAGGGAGAUGAUGAUGUAGAUUCUGGAUAUGGUUUGCUAAGGAGAUACCGCUACCAAUUGUGAGUUCAGAUCAAAAUUAUCCUCACGAGCGAUCAGUAGUUACGCUGAGUUAUGCAUUUACUGUUCAAGAACUAUAGAAUUUGAAUAAUUGACCUGGUACUGGUAUCUCAUAUUUAUGGCUUAUGGUUCGUUGUUGUCGUGCUAGAUUUGUAGGACUGGUCCUCUCUAUAGCCUAUACUAUUCUUUUGUACGGUAUAUACGUUCCAGACUGGGAGUACAAGAUAUCAGGCCCUGGUUCCACAGAGAAAUCAUUCUCUGUAAGUGCAAAGUGCCUCUGCAUUUUCUUUAUCUUGUUAGAAGUUCACUAUACAAGAAGAAGCGCUGAAGUUCAUGCUACAUUUGAAUGUGUCAGGUGAAAUGUGGAGUAAGAGGAGACACCGGACUAGCUUGCAAUGCAGUUGGUUGACCGUACAAUUCUAGGGAUCGAUCACCUCUACAGACAGCCAGUUUAUGCGCGCACAAAGGUUCGAUAUGAAGUGUAAAGUCUCAGUUUUCUGCUCCCUUGUCACAAAACUCAAUAAAAAAUUUUGGCUAACAUGCAGGAAUGUAGUAUAAAUUAUCCAGAGAAUGGACCUCUUCCACCCGUGCUCCAUCAUGGUGCCAGGCACCAUUUGAUCCUGAAGGCCUCCUCAGGUCAGUGCUUCACAAAAUCACAGCUCGUCAGUGACCAUAAGCUUCUCUUGCAAUGCAGGUUCCUCCAACUUAGUGGUAGUUCUUAAUGUCCUUCAUUCAUGUUUNNNNNNNNNNNNNNNNNNNNNNNNNNNNNNNNNNNNNNNNNNNNNNNNNNNNNNNNNNNNNNNNNNNNNNNNNNNNNNNNNNNNNNNNNNNNNNNNNNNNCUAACCAACUAAGCUAGAGGCCUUUUUAGACACAUAUAUGAAGUAUUAAAUAUAGAUUAUUUAAGAAACUAAGCAUAAAGCUAGAGGAUACUUUGUGAAAUGAUUUUUUAAAGUCUAAUUGGUCCAUAAUUAAAUACUAAUUGCUAUAAAUUUUAGUUCUUAUCACAUCAAAUGUUCUUAUCCGUCCCUGAAAGCUGCAAUUUCUAGAGUUUUUCUAAGUCAAUUUUUUACAACUUUGACCAAAUUUAUAGAAAAAAAUGCUAAGAUUUAUAGUACCAAAUUAAUACCAUUAAAUUUAUUAUAGAAUAUAUUUUUGAAAGAUACUUAUUUUAUGUUAUAGAUAUUGAUACUCUUUUCUAUAAAGUUGGUCAAAGUUAGAAAAGUUUGACUCACAUGGAUUCUAGGAGUUGAAGCUUUUGGGGACGGACCAGUAAAGUCCUCCGAGCUCCCCAAUUGCGGCGUGGGUAGGUAGGGACGGCGCCUCAGGGAGAUUGUUUGCUGAAGCC